GGGAUGACAGGUGUGAGCCACUGCACCUGGCCUGUUUUUAAUUCUUUACUCUGUAUACCCAGGAGUGGAAUUGUUGGAUCAUAUGGUAAUACUGUGCUUAGCUUUUUCAGGAGUGGGGAUCUUGCUUAUUAAUUUUGCACUGAGAACUGAAAAUGAUAUAGCCCGACCGACAUUAUGAAUUUUUUAAAUCCUCUAGCAAGAUCAGCUAUAUCAUUUGCAGGGUGCAAUCUCGGCUCGCUGCAACCUCCGCCUCCCGGGUUCAAGCAAUUCUCCUGCCUCAGCCUCCCGAGUAGCUGGGAUUACAGGCAUGCAGCACCAGGCCUGGCUAAUUUUUGUAUUUUUAGUAGAGACAGAGUUUCGCCAUGUUGGCCAGGCUGGUCUCAAACUCCUGACCUCAGGUGAUCCGCCUGCCUUGGCCUCUCAAAGUGCUGGGAUUACUGGUGUGAGCCACCAUGCCCAGCUUGAAACUAACUUUUGAAUUAAAGUAUCUAAGAGCUGGGAGGAUGUUUUUUGUUGUCAUGAUUUGACAAACCACUUGCUAUACUGUAGGAAGUAUGCUUAUUGGUAAGAUCUGACAGCUUUAGGCAGCAUGAAGUCAACACAUCUGUUACAAAAAUGACCCCUUUGUUCUCCCACAGGAUAUUUAGUUGCAACUGCUGAAUCAAGAAAUGUAACAUACUCAAUGUAUCCAUUUUUUUAUUGCUGCUAUAAUAAGUUACCAGACUGUACUGUUUAAACAUUAAACAACAUAAAUUUAAUAUCUUACAGUACUGUAAGAUAGAAGUCUGAUAAGCUCUCACUGGGCUAAAAUCUAGGUAUCAACAGGACUGCAUUCCUUUCAGGAACUAUUAUUAACUAAGGUCCAUGGUUUUAUAGUUUCAUGCUUUGUGUUACUGUAUAUUUUUGCCAAAUGCAUAUCAUAUAUCCACCAAUACAGUGUCAUAUAGUUUUGUUUGUUUGUUUGUUUUGAGACAGAGUCUCACUCUGUCGCACAGGCUUGAGUGCAGUGGUGCGAUCUUGGCUCACUGCAACCUCCGCCUCCUGGGUUCAAGUGAUUCUCCUGCGUCAGCCGCCCCAGUAGCUGGGAUUACA
rnacentral:lncRNA from 1 species